AACAAAGAAGAAAUAUAUAUCUAUGUAGCAUAGGACACCAUAGGGUGUCGCUCUUCUCCUGGGCAUUUUCCUUUAAAAAGGAAGUCGGCUGUUUGCCGAAGGAGAUGCUGGUUUCCUGUGGGGUGGCCUGAAGUGUUUGCUGGGCACACACGCCAGGCAGGAGGAUGAAAUGAGACAAUCCGGGUUUUAUGGACUUGCUGCAGAAUGAAGUGAUUGUGGCACCGUGUGAGUGAACAACUGAGUGUGAGACGACGGCGUUUCAGGUAUGCGGCUUUUUAAUGUUUUUAGAGCGGUGAUUAAAGUGUUUUUUAGCUUUUGGUAAUGUUGUGUUUUGUGUAUUGCAGUAUUCGUGUGGGCCGCUGCCUGCUGUCCUUGUUGUAAUCUUGUUUGUAUUUUUUAAUUUGAGUUAGUUCGCCCAGUAAUACACUACAGCUGUGUGAAAAAAUAAAGAACUUGUGCGGGCGAACUAACUC